rnacentral:rRNA from 1 species
UAGGGAAUCUUCCACAAUGGGCGAAAGCCUGAUGGAGCAACGCCGCGUGUGUGAUGAAGGGUUUCGGCUCGUAAAACACUGUUGUAAGAGAAGAAUGACAUUGAGAGUAACUGUUCAAUGUGUGACGGUAUCUUACCNGAAAGGAACGGCUAAAUACGUGCCAG